CAAAAGAAGAAGAGUUGCCGGCCUGGUGAGAAAACAACGAGCGUGCCAGUACCACCAGGCCGAAACAUACCCCAUUGCUGGGGUUUUGAAAGAAAGAACAAGGAGGGGAGUGUUCCAAAGACUUCUGAAAUGGGAACCAUGCCCAGAAUGGUAAGUACUACACAGCAAAUUACUGUUACGAUAGCACUUGUACCCUACUUGUGACCUAGUUAAUGAACUGUUAACAAACUCUUUUUCAGCGGGAAGGAUUUCGCUCCAACCUGGCAGACAGUUUAAGGUAAUUAUGUUGCAUGUUUCAUUGAUGUUACAUCUACAGUAUCCAAGGCUUUGAACCAGAUUUUUUUUCUUUACUACUUACACU